rnacentral:tRNA from 1 species
GGCCCUUUGGCCCAAUGGUAAGGCGUCUGACUACGACCGAGCAUGGUAAAACAUGCCUCAGAGUAAUCAGGAGAUUCUGGGUUCGAGCCCCAGGAGGGUCA